GGCUUCCAGAGGCCUCCUCCUCCGAUGAUGAUGAUGCCGCCGCCGCCCCCCCACAACAGAUGCUCCAUGUGGUGUUUACACAGACAACAACAACAACAACAACACCCCAGCGCCAUUGUAACAAGGAGGAGGGGGAGGAGGAGGAAGUGGCAGAGGAGGUUUGCCAGCAACGGUACUUCCUAGAGCUUUCAGGGACCGGAGAAAAGAUAGAACUAAGCUUAGGAAGUCAAUCAAGACUGAUCGGUAAGGCCGUAGGGGGAGUGGAAGAGGGAGUUUUCAUCCCAGGGUCCUGGCUCCCUGUGAGCAACCAGAUGGGACCGCCGGCAACAGCCUCACAGAGAAUUUCCCAUCCAGUCCCGAAGGUGCAAGGAACGGACGGUGUGCAGCUCUGAAUGAAAAUAGAAAGAACAACUCAGCAACACAUCUAUGUGCCAGUCUCUGGCGGCCGAGUGGCACUCAGGCAAGGCUGAACAAGAAAUCCAGCUCUGCAAACCAGCCUGUCUUCCAGAAAGGAGACCUCCCUACUGUAACAGGGAGCAACUUUAUAGGGCCAGGUGGGUUUCUAUUGGCUCUUUAUGUCACAUGGUAGGCUGGAAGCUGCGGCACCACCGGCUGGCCAUCUGCAGUGGUGACGCUCACUCGCUCCUUCGCUCGUUCGUUCAUUCACUCGUGUGACCCAAAGGGAGAGCAGCCAUUCUUCCUGUUGACAAGCUGUCACAAAGGGGGAAAGCUGCUCGGGCCUCACUCCCGUUUUUUUGUUUGUUUUGCUUUUACCCCACCUUCCCGGCGAAGGGAGUCACUUCUAGACGUCACCCCUGGCUUGAGGCCAGCUCUGGGGGCCUCACAGUGGAGGAGGCCCUUGCUUUUAACCGCAGGGUGCAACUGGGACGCACCUCCGAAACAUUUAGGAAAAGGCUUGCAAAAGGGGGUGGCUUGGCUUGAGACCCUGGUGGUCUCUCACUGGAAAUACAUUAAAAGUUACCUUUCCCUCGGGUGGGGUGGAACAAACACAUGAUGCUGACCGGCAGAAACAGCAUUGCCGAAUUUAUUUUGACCACCACCCAGAUUCCACCUAGUUUUAGGCAAAAUCUAAAAUGUAAGCAUUAUGCAUCUACUUGUACACUGCUUAAACAAGAAAACAAUAGGAUGCAUGUUAAGAAACGAGUUGGCUUCAUUUAGCCUUUAUAUUAUUAGAAUAUAUUAAAUCUGAGCAAUAAUUCUGUCAGACAAGCUGGGAGGAAAUUAAGAGCAAAAUGCCUGUUUCGGCCAUGGUACGAUACAAGAUAGGAGUUCUAAUUAUAUUGUUGCCUAAUCAGAUAAUUUUUUGAGAACCUAAGAACUCUCAAGGUUAAGAAAUAACCUUUUCCCUCGUGAUUGUUAUGUAUUACCAUUGAUUAUAAGUUGGUGGUCUUUUUUUGCUUUAAUGUUUUUUUUUUAAUAAUCGGGGGGCUGAAUAUAUUUACUGGUGAGUGAGGUUUCAUUUCCCAGAUGAACCAUAAAUGAAAAAAAAAGGUCACACAAUAACAAAAUAAAUGCAUUACUAAGUACUAUUGGGUCA
ensembl:lncRNA